GAUGAACGCUGGCGGCGUGCUUAACGCAUGCAAGUCGAACGGAAAGGCUCCUGCUUGCAGGGGUACUCGAGUGGCGAACGGGUGAGUAACACGUGGGUGAUCUGCCCUGCACUUCGGGAUAAGCCUGGGAAACUGGGUCUAAUACCGGAUAGGACGAUGGUUUGGAUGCCAUUGUGGAAAGUUUUUCGGUGUGGGAUGAGCUCGCGGCCUAUCAGCUUGUUGGUGGGGUAAUGGCCUACCAAGGCGUCGACGGGUAGCCGGCCUGAGAGGGUGUACGGCCACAUUGGGACUGAGAUACGGCCCAGACUCCUACGGGAGGCAGCAGUGGGGAAUAUUGCACAAUGGGCGCAAGCCUGAUGCAGCGACGCCGCGUGGGGGAUGACGGCCUUCGGGUUGUAAACUCCUUUCGCUAGGGACGAAGCGUUUUGUGACGGUACCUGGAGAAGAAGCACCGGCUAACUACGUG
rnacentral:rRNA from 1 species